rnacentral:tRNA from 2 species
GUCCUGGUGGCCUAACAGGUAUGGCAGCCGGCUGUUGACCGGAAGAAUGGCGGUUCGAGUCCGCCCCGGGGCG